CUAAUCUUAUAAAUCGGUUAACUUUCACCUUUGAUAUCAACUCUCAUCGUUACUAGCAACCCGCUGAGUACCGAACCGCCGCCGGAAAACAACACAUGCUCUUGUUCAGGUGCAAACCAUUGAUUUGUAUCUCUCGUCAUUUUUCUUUACAUUUCAAACUUAUUUAGUUUCAAUCUCAUCUAUUAUAGUUCCGAAAAUUCACAAUGACAUUGUUAAAUCCUUCUUUUAGACGAAAAUUUAUCUGGGUCCUCCAUAAACUAUUCUUUCAUACACCCGCAUCUUCAAAUAUCCUUCCAAAAUCUACGACUGGUGAUGAUCAAACCAUUCUAACAACCUUUAAAACUAAGAAAAUUUAUACCCAAAUCCCAUUUCAAUCUAAUUUCACCAUUAAAUAUCUUACUGAAUCAUGUGGGCUUUCUAUGGAAUCUGCUAUUUUUGCUUCAAAAAAAGUGAAUUUAAAUGAGAAAAACCAAAAACAGUUAGAUUCAAUUUUUUCAUUAUUAAAAUCCCAUAAUUUUUCUGAUACCCAAAUAGCUGAACUCAUUGAAAAGAACCCUCUUGUUCUUCAUUGUAGGGUUGAAACUAAUCUUGAAUGUAAAAUUAGGUUUUUUUGAUGAAUAUGGUAUAAAUAAUUCUCUUCUUCACAAAAUUUUAGUUUCUUCACCUAAAAUUGUGCGUAGAAGCAUAGAUAAACAACUAAAACCAGCAAGUGAAUUACUAAAGGGCUAUGUAACUUCUCCCAAGAAUUUUGAAGUUGUGAUUCGACGUGGUUCUUUGUUACUUACUUGUGAUUGGAAUAAUAUGAGAAAGAAUUUGGAAUACUUGACUGAACAAGGGGUGCCAAAACAUAGAAUUGAGGAUUUGCUUGUUUUGCAACCUAGAGUUAUGCUUCAACACAUUGCUAGGAUGAAGAAUACUUUUAAAAGGAUUAAAGAUAUGGGAAUAAACCCUUCAGAUCUUAGGUUUAUACAUGCUUUUCGUGUAAUGGUACCGCUUAGUGAGUCGAGUUGGAAGAAGAAAGUUGAGAUCUUUCGGAGUAUGGAUGGUCUAGUGAAGAGGUUGUAUCUACUUUUAUUGCUAGUCCACAUUGUUUUGCUUGCUCCAAGAACAAACUUAGGAAUGGUAUGGAUUAUUUUGUUAAUACCGUUAAGAUUGAUCGAGAGGUAAUUAUUCGGUAUCCUAAGUUUUUGAUGUAUUCGAUUGCGAAAAGGGAAAACCCGAGGUUUACUGUUUGGAAAAUUUUGAUGGAGAGAGAACUGAUUCGCGGUAAACAGUUCAUUUGGUUGCUCGAUAUAUCAGAACAUAAUUUCGUUGCGCAGUAUUUUACUAAGUUCUCGAAUACAAUCCCUCAUCUUUGAUAAGUUUAUCUGAGCUGCAAGGAGUCUAUCACACCCGCUUGAAGUUCAGUCUGCAGCUCGGCUCGGUGUGAGUUGCCUGUUGAAGGCCAUGGCCAUUGCUGUUAUAUUUCUUGAUUGUUUUGGAAGUUUCAAAUUGCAGACAUUGUAUCCUACCACUCGUGGGCGUUUUGUAAAGGUUUUCAAAUUUACUGACUCGAUAUUACUCGUGUUGUCGAGACUGUUACCGCAUUUUUUGAUGGAGGCAUUUUUUGCGGUUCGAAUCUGUUCCGUCCUUCGAUUAUUGAUGAUCUUGAUGAUGUGAUGAGAAAUUACCAUGAGCUUAUAUUUCUUAUAGUAUUAUUUAUGGUUUCAGUUGACAAUUUUUAAGGCUUAAGGGACUCCAUUUCAGUCUGAGUUCAUCCAUGUCCUCUUGACAGUUAACUAUGAUGAACCACUUCUAUUUGUAGCAAUUAUUGUUUAUGAAAAAAGAAAUGGACAUAAAAUGCCUCAUUCUAAUGUACAUAGUACUUAUGUAACUUCAUUCUGAACAUGUGUUUUUCAUUAUAAAUUUUCUUUUCCGUCCUAA